rnacentral:misc_RNA from 1 species
UCUAAGGAAAAAAGUCCUGUGACCCCCCGGUCACAGGCAACGGAAACCGAUACAGUCAAAACUUUGUUCAGUUUUGAGAGGCCUGCCUCUCAAGAUUUUGUUUGUUCUUUGAAAACUGGAUAUCAUGAAGUGAAGGCCAGCUCGUCAGAGCUGACCACACCGAGAAACACCACUGUGAUUUUUUUGAGUUCAGGCGGACUAAGUCCGCCGAAUCAAGCGCUGUUUACAGCGUUUCACUUAGGU